GAUGAACGCUAGCGGCAGGCCUAAUACAUGCAAGUCGGACGGGAUUGAGAAGCUUGCUUUUCAUGAGAGUGGCGCACGGGUGCGUAACACGCAUGUAACCUACCCAUAUCAGGGGGAUAGCCUCUCGAAAGAGAGAUUAAGACCGCAUAACAUUAUUGAAUGGCAUCAUUUAAUAAUCAAAUAUUUAUAGGAUAUGGAUGGGCAUGCGGAACAUUAGCUAGUUGGUAAGGUAACGGCUUACCAAGGCUACGAUGUUUAGGGGACCUGAGAGGAUGACCCCCCACACUGGUACUGAGACACGGACCAGACUCCUACGGGAGGCAGCAGUAAGGAAUAUUGGUCAAUGGACGGAAGUCUGAACCAGCCAUGCCGCGUGCAGGAAGACGGCCCUAUGGGUUGUAAACUGCUUUUGCAGGGGAAUAAACCUCGAUACGUGUAUCGAGCUGAAUGUACUCUGAGAAUAAGGAUCGGCUAACUCCGUGCCAGCCGCCGCUGUAA
rnacentral:rRNA from 1 species